rnacentral:rRNA from 1 species
GACGAACCGUGCGAACGUUGUUCGGAAUCACUGGGCUUAAAGGGCGCGUAGGCGGAUCAUCAAGUCCGGGGUGAAAUCUUUCGGCUUAACCGGAAAAGUGCCUUGGAUACUGGUGGUCUCGAGUGAGGUAGGGGCAUGUGGAACUUCUGGUGGAGCGGUGAAAUGCGUUGAUAUCAGAAGGAACUCCGGUGGCGAAAGCGACGUGCUGGACCUCUCUGACGCUGAGGCGCGAAAGCUAGGGGAGCGAACGGG